GAGAGAUUCAUCGUCAUUCCACGCGACGUGCGUGCGUGUCGCUCGAUGCGUCGCGCUCGACCUCGCGUCGUGCGCGCGCGCACGGUGCGCGUGUACGCUUCGACGUCCGUGGAGGGCGUGCACUUCUCUCUCAGUAAUGCAUCGCGACCCGUUCGAUGUGGCGGUCUAAGCGCCGUCGUAACGCGGAGACCGGUGGUCGUGAUCGCAUUCCAUGCGACCGACCGUCGGACCGUGAUGGACGCCGACCGGUCGUCGGACGGUGUGUAUAAUGAAUCGCGCACGCGUCUCUCGUAGUACGCGUCCGGCCCGACGCGAGGUGCCGCCGUCGUCGUGUUCACACGGCGGGGGCCGGUGCCUGUCGUUGCUGCCGUGUCGUCUCGGACAGUGCGACGUAUCUGUCUGCGAUGAUUCCGUUUCGGGCACUCGCAGGACCCGUCUUGAAACACGGACCAAGGAGUCUAGCAUGUGUGCGAGUCAUUGAGAUUGUUUUGUAAACUGAAAGGCACAACGAAAG
rnacentral:rRNA from 1 species